GUAGCCUUUGUUUACACUUUGAACACAUGCCUGAAUUCAGUUCAACACAUUUUAUCUUUAUUACCGCAUCAGUUGAGAGAUGAUCUGGAUCUGCUAAAUUUACGUUGUUUUACUGGUCGAUACUUAUGUUUUCAAACAUAUUAUAUUCAAAUCUACGACGGUCCACCUGGAGUUUGUUAUAUGAUUAACACUGACGUUACUUGGCCACAAGAGGGAGCUGACGAUCACUUAAUUUUCAUUUGACUUUUACACAUUUAACUUAGUAAAUAUUGCCUUAUUUUGUCUGAGUACGUAAAUUUUAAAGUAGACUAGAAGUUUUGGAAGUCAGUGAUCAAACCAAAAGUCUACUGGCACUGUAAGAAGUAAUGUAGAAACCGAAGUGCAGUUUUCAUCCUCUCCGCGAGGCGGCGGAAGCGACUGAUCGGGUUCAGUGUGACACCUUCAGAAUAUGUUUGUCAACAUGACGCUUGAUUAACAGUCGCUCACCGCAGCUCUUGAAGACUCUUUAAAAGUAAUGAUUCUGCAGAUGACAGCUCAGUGACAGACUCUUAAUUUCACUCGACAGCACGCAUUCCAGCACACAAACAAACAAUACCGACCGACACACGCUGCAGAAACCGGAGAUGUUUCACGCAACUCACCUAUUAGUUUGGGUCAGUUUCCAGCCUGUUCCUCCACACAUCUGGGCAAUGGAUAUAUUUGCCUCCUCACUGUCACCCUCUUCCAUCCAGAACCUCAUCACACAUCCAGACUUCAGAUGACAGAGACUCAGAGCAGGAUGUGGACUGGAAAGCACUCACUAUCCAGAUGCUCCUCAAGGGGAGCUGGAGAAUCCGUUUCCAAUUCCGCUUAACCAAUCAAGCAUUAAAAUAAAUGCUGCUUGAGUCCAGAAACAACAAAAAUCCUUAUAAUAAUAAUGUUUUAUUUUUAUAGCGCCUUUCAAGAACCCAAGGACGCUUUGCUAAAUAAUACAAGCAUUUGGCAAACAAAAUACACCAGACAAUCAUAGGGGAAAUUCAGACAAAACAAGUGCUGACAACAAAGAACUACAGAUUAACAACAAGAGGUCAUGAAAUCAUAUGAUGAACACCAAUUAUGUCAAGAAGGUGGUCAUGUGUCAUACAGACAGAAGCUGAGAAAUUGAGAAGCAGAGAGGUAAUUGAGUUAUUUAGAGAACAAAGUGAAUAGAUGAGUUUUAAGUUGAGACUUAAAGGUCUUGAGAGAGGAGGCAGCACGAAUAUUAUGGGGCAGCUUAUUCCAUAGCUUAGGGCCUUUAAUACAGAAAGCCCUACAGCCCACCGUAGAGUGUUUAUACUUGGGCACAACAAGCUAGUUAUCGUUGCUAGAUCUGAGAGUCCGUGCAGGAAUGUAUGGUUGCACUAACUCACGUGCGAGGCUGUGACUGGCCUUAUAAACUAAAACUGAGUUUGAAUUUGAUACAUUUGGUCACAGGAAGCCAGUGAAGGAUGGAAGUGAUAUGUGUAGAUUUUUUGUUAAAUGUAAGGGCUCGAGCAGCAGAGUUUUGUACCAUAUGGAGGCGAUUAAUAACUUUGUAUAACUGGCAGGUAAGCCGCUAUACAAGGAGUUACAGUAAUCCAAUCUGGAGGUUAUAAAAGCAUGGAUAAUAGUUUCAGCAUCUCAUUGUUUAACUGUGAACAAACAUGGUACACAUUCAUUUAACUAAAUAAAAACAAAUACACAAUCUCAUUUACCUAAA